UACAGAGGUGGCAAGCGUUGUUCGGAAUUACUGGGCGUAAAGGGCGCGUAGGCGGUCUUUUAAGUCUUGUGUGAAAUCCCUCGGCUUAACCGGGGAACUGCGUCUGAUACUGGAUGGCUUGAGUUCGGGAGAGGGAUGCGGAAUUCCAGGUGUAGCGGUGAAAUGCGUAGAUAUCUGGAGGAACACCGGUGGCGAAGGCGGCAUCCUGGACCGAUACUGACGCUGAGGAGCGAAAGCCAGGGGAGCAAACGGG
rnacentral:rRNA from 1 species